AUGCCUGGCGAGCGUUUUAGCCGGUCCUCCGAAGCGCAAGCAGAGCCCGGGGAGGGGGCUCCUUCCCCAAGGCGGCCGGUCGGCCCGCCGCGGAGCAACACGCAUCCGAACUGGAAAGCUCCCCGGCGGGACCCCCAGCGCGGCUCUCCUCCCGUCCAGGGGCCGAGAAUGCGCACGUCUGGGCAGCGACACGUUUUGUUGUUUUUAGAAAGUAGUCGAAGGGAGGUGGUGGAUGGAGCUGUGGAAGGAGACGAUGCCGGUGAUGGAGGAGGAGGAGAUGGGAGUUGGAUGGAUGGAUGGUGGACGGACGGAUGGACGGAUGGAUGGAUGGACGGAUGGAUGGGGGAAGCUGCCGUGAAGGCAUUAGAAGGGCCUGCCCACCCAGCCACCCAGCCACCCAGCCGCCAGCCAGCCAGCCAGCCAGCAGCCAGCCAAGCGACCGCGGCGCGCCCCGGAACGGCGCUUUCCUCGUCCGCCGCGCUUGGACAACGAAGGAGUCUCCGUCCGACCUGGGCGGCACCGUCUCGGCCGCACGGCCCCGGGAGGUGCGUUCCUUGCUAGGACCUGUCGGAGGGCCUCGCCCUGGGCACAGGACGUCUUCUGAAACGCUACGUGUUUGGUGUGUUUAAUCUGUUUAUUCUACACUAGGGUUUGUUGUUGUUAAUGAUAGCCUGAUGCUAAUUUAAGAGAAGCCUGUAGGUUUGACCAUUAAGCCAGCUAACAGUUGUAUGCUGAAGAAUAAUCUAGCUGUUUGUCUGUAUGCUGCUAAAACCAAAACGGAAUUAGAAUUCAUUUAUUUUUAUUUUGAGGAGAAACGCAGUGAAGGGCCCUCGGGGUGCGGCCCCAGGCCCCAGGGGCGCCUCCAUCCAUCCUGCCCGUUUGGGAGCGCUUGUGUUUUACCUCAGAAGCACUUCUGUGUGGGGCAUCUCUGUGUCUCGGGCCGGGGGGGGGGGGGUCUGCGCGAAGCUCAGUGGUGGUGGAGCCGGUAAGUUUCUUUCAAUAUUGUACGUACUAAGAGGCCAAAGGCUGAUCGCGGGUUCAUGUGUCUACAGAGGGGCUCUUUAGGCCCCGCUAUUUACAGGUUUAUAACAAUCUUCUAGGAAGCAGGCAAGUCAGAGGUGUACGUUUUUAUAUUGUGCUUAUUGGCAUCCCUGGUCUGAAAUGCACAUUUUCACCAACAGACCUGUAACAGACAAGUUCCAGCAAAAAAGGAAGAAAACAACUCAAAAAGAUUUUAAAUUCUAGAAAUAAACUUUGUAAAACCCAGUGACUGUGCUGUUGU
rnacentral:lncRNA from 1 species